ACAGAUUCGAAUAGAUUGUUUUGCAACAAUGGAUAGUUGUCGCUUGUGCAUGAAACCUAGGGGGGUUAAACCUAUGAAUGCGGCAAUAGUGCGCAAAAUUGAGGUUUGUUUUGGAAAACAUAUCAAUCUCAAAGAUAGCACCUUGCCAAGAAACAUAUGCCGACGGUGUACAAAAAAAGUAAACAUGUUCAAAGACUAUCAGGACUUCUAUUUAGCAGUGCAAGCUAAAAUGUUCAUCAGGCGUCCAAGCCGUUUUCUUCGUGUAGAGAUGGAACCGUUGGCACAUGUUAUUGUAUCCCGGCGUGAAAUGCCACGAUACAUUCGUCCACGUAUCCAAAACGUGCGUGAAACCGGAAGACGACGUGGAAGCAGCGCUGAUACAUCGAGUUCCGAUAGCGAAAACGUCGGGUUAGGUCGCACAGCUCAGCUAACUGUUCCCCAAGUAUUUACUAUUCGUCGUGUAGCACUUCCCCGCCGACGUGCAUCAUUCGUAGCAGAUCCCCGUAUUAUUACUUUUCGACGUGUAACGCAUUCUCCCCCUGCACCUCCUAACAAUCAACCAUCUGUGGAACCAACUGUUCCCAGCCAAGGUGCAUCGCCUUCUCCAGUAGCAGGUAACAUAGAAGUCGUUGACAACGCCGUUGAUCAAUAUCCCACCAGUUCUGCUGAGUGCUACAUCUGUCGCAAGAACGUCGAACGCAUUCGCUUGGAUGGGCAUAUUAAUGGUCACUUGGGACGUCGCCCGUACAGUUGUCCGAUUGAAGGAUGUCCCGCGCGAUUCCACUGCAAACAUGCAUGCCGUUUACACGUUCGCCUUCGUCAUUGAUCGGAACCUUUCACUGGUGGUACGUGUGGCAAAGAGAAUAAGGCACGUUGCGACCUUUGGAGACACAUACGAGAAUCUCACGUAGAGCCGAGAUUUAAUUGCGACAUAUGCGGAAAAUAGUUUAUCAUAAGUUUGGCAAUUCCUAAAGAGCGGAAUAUCGUGCGCUAUAACAUCCAGUGUCUCGAGGAUUCAGAAGAGAAAGAAGAAUUGGAUGAAGGCGGAGAAAGUGUGACAAUAGCUUAUCAAUCAAAACAACUGGACGGAAUAGAUUUUGUUUUUUUUUUUUUGUUAGAACGGCCACGCCGUAUCGAUUUAUUUUAUCCACGUAGCGAGAUAGUCAGUCCUAGCUAGGGGGUUACAGCAUCUGACCGCGCCAAGACGGAAGAUAUUGUGGCAACAAUAUAUACAACAAUUUCAUGGGCGAUCCGGUAGCAUGGUGGUAGCGGCGCCGGUCUUCACACGAACGGAUCGGAUCAAUCCCCCGUAGCAAGGACAGUAGGUACAGUAGAAUAAACUACAUAAGGGAAUUUAUUGGACAGUAGUUAUAACCGAAAGAUUUUCCUUUUCGAUCGUUCCACUUCUUGGGUGGUUCAACUGCUCCAGUUUUCGGCAGCUUAUUAUCGUCAUUGUGAGUGCAAGUAAUGUUAUUUCGGUAAA